UUUUGAACUGCAUGGUUCGAAAUUGAAAGGCGGCUUCGGCUGUCACUUAUGGAUGGACCCGCGUCGCAUUAGCUAGUUGGUGAGGUAACGGCUCACCAAGGCAACGAUGCGUAGCCGACCUGAGAGGGUGAUCGGCCACACUGGGACUGAGACACGGCCCAGACUCCUACGGGAGGCAGCAGUAGGGAAUCUUCCGCAAUGGACGAAAGUCUGACGGAGCAACGCCGCGUGAGUGAUGAAGGCUUUCGGGUCGUAAAACUCUGUUGUUAGGGAAGAACAAGUGCUAGUUGAAUAAGCUGGCACCUUGACGGUACCUAACCAGAAAGCCACGGCUAACUACGUGCCAGCAGCCGCGGUAAUACGUAGGUGGCAAGCGUUAUCCGGAAUUAUUGGGCGUAAAGCGCGCGCAGGUGGUUUCUUAAGUCUGAUGUGAAAGCCCACGGCUCAACCGUGGAGGGUCAUUGGAAACUGGGAGACUUGAGUGCAGAAGAGGAAAGUGGAAUUCCAUGUGUAGCGGUGAAAUGCGUAGA
rnacentral:rRNA from 1 species